AUGAGGCUAAGAACAUACAAAGGUUCUCAGCAAUCAAAUCAAAUCUAAAUACAAUGUACUGACAGAAAAGAGGAAAUAUUUACAGGUUUACAAUACCCUGCCUUCAGGAGGAGAAAAACCACCAAAGAAUGAAACUGCCUGUUGACUUCAGUUUUUUCUCUUCACCCAAGAGAGCAAGAGAGAGAAAAUCUUUCAAAAUAGAGUAGAAUUGGACAUGAUAUAUAUAAUAAUUUGAUCACAUCAACAUCUAGAGCAGGAGAAAAGCCUAACAAAUAUCUUGAAAUCUGGUAGUUAUGAAAUGAUAAGUUAAUACAUAAAACAAAAUGUAGAAGUAGAAGAUACUCCUUCCUCUGGCAGUCCCCCAAGGACUACAUUGCUGGGGACUAUAUUUUCUCCUGUCUUCAACUAUUUCUUCACUGGGAAAUAAAAAUGUAACAUCAAGAUCAGAUUCUUCAGGACAGGCUGUGGAAGCUGAAGAGAUACUAAAACAACUUGAUAUGAAACCGGUGGGUGAAAUCACUACUGGUAGGACAGAAUCAAAUAAUGGAGCAGCUUCUUCAAAUCAAGCAGUUCAAGGGAGGCUAUCAAUAAAUUAUGGUUUAGAAGAAGCAGAAGGCACAGUUCAUUGUGAUAUCCCACCCCUUGAACGCAAAUAACUUAGACAGUGAUUAUUCAUCAGCUCAUGCAGAAGCUGCCUAAGAAUAAGACUAGAAAGUAUUUGACCCUAAUUAUGUCAUCAAGCUAGUACACUGCAGUCAAUCUAAAUGAGUAAGAAGAUGUAUCACUUAUUUUUCCAGUUCAUGCUAAGAUUUUAUCAGGUUUAUAUGAGAUUAAGAUCAUGCUUCGAAUAAUUGCUGAAAUGAAUUUCUCAGCGGUAUCAAUGUUUCUACUGCUUCUAAGAAGGUAUAUGCAGACAAGUUACUGAAUAUAUUAGACCUGAAAAUGUGACUAGGUAACUGGUCAGGCACCAGCCCUUCUGAAAAUAUUUUGUUUGUGGACAAGGAAACUAUAUAAAGGACUUAAAUAUCCUCGAAAGAGAUCUUUCAAAAACUAAAAUAAUGAAUAACCCACCAUAAGCAUUUGCAUAUUAGCUUUCUAAUGGAAUCCCUAUAGAAUUGUGGUUUAUAGAUUAAAAUGCCAGUGAACAACUUAAAUUGAUUUCAUUUCUGGAGAAUCUUGUAGAACUGAAUGAAGAUAUUUGACUUCAUGUCAGAGACAGAUUUCACUUACAUCACUUGCUGUCAUCAGAUUAA
rnacentral:lncRNA from 1 species